rnacentral:tRNA from 1 species
GCCGGCGUAGCUCAGCUGGUAGAGCGCUUCACUUGUAAUGAAGAUGUCGGGGGUUCGACUCCUCUCGCCGGCUCCA